rnacentral:rRNA from 1 species
GACGAACGCUGGCGGCGUGCCUAAUACAUGCAAGUCGAACGAGAGCGACCGGUGCUUGCACUGGUCAAUCUAGUGGCGAACGGGUGAGUAACACGUGGGUAACCUGCCCAUCAGAGGGGGAUAACAUCCGGAAACGGAUGCUAAAACCGCAUAGGUCUUCGAACCGCAUGGUUUGAAGAGGAAAAGAGGCGCAAGCUUCUGCUGAUGGAUGGACCCGCGGUGCAUUAGCUAGUUGGUGAGGUAACGGCUCACCAAGGCCGUGAUGCAUAGCCGACCUGAGAGGGUGAUCGGCCACAUUGGGACUGAGACACGUCCCAAACUCCUACGGGAGGCAGCAGUAGGGAAUCUUCCGCAAUGGACGCAAGUCUGACGGAGCAACGCCGCGUGAGUGAAGAAGGUUUUCGGAUCGUAAAACUCUGUUGUUAGAGAAGAACAAGUGCUAGAGUAACUGUUAGCGCCUUGACGGUAUCUAACCAGAAAGCCACGGCUAACUACGUG